rnacentral:misc_RNA from 1 species
GUAGGAGCUGCCGCAGGCUGCGAUCUUUUGAUCUUGAUCUUAAAACAAGAUCAAAAGAUCGCAGCCUGCGGCAGCUCCUAC